rnacentral:rRNA from 1 species
GGCUCAGAACGAACGCGGCGGGCGUGCCUAACACAUGCAAGUCGAGCGAGAAAGCCCGCAAGGGUGAGCAAAGCGGCGCACGGGUGAGUAACACGUGGGUAAUCUGCCCUAGAGUCCGGAAUAACUCGCCGAAAGGCGUGCUAAUGCCGGAUGAGACCACGGGAGCCUCGGCUCCUGCGGGAAAAGGUGGCCUCUGUACACAAGCUAUCACUCUAGGAUGAGCCCGCGGCCCAUCAGCUCGUUGGCGGGGUAAUGGCCCACCAAGGCUACGACGGGUAGCUGGUCUGAGAGGACGAUCAGCCACACUGGAACUGAGACACGGUCCAGACUCCUACGGGAGGCAGCAGUGGGGAAUCUUGCGCAAUGGGCGAAAGCCUGACGCAGCAACGCCGCGUGUGUGAUGAAGGUCUUCGGAUCGUAAAGCACUGUCGCGAGGGACGAAUAAGGGGCGGGCUAACAUCCCGUUCCGAUGACGGUACCUCGAGAGGAAGCACCGGCUAACUCUGCGCCAGCAGCCGCGGUAAUACAGAGGGUGCAAGCGUUGUUCGGAAUUAUUGGGCGUAAAGCGCGUGUAGGCGGCCUUGCAAGUUGGGUGUGAAAGCCCUCGGCUUAACCGAGGAAGUGCGCCCAAAACUACGAGGCUUGAGUGCCGGAGAGGGUGGCGGAAUUCCCGGUGUAGAGGUGAAAUUCGUAGAUAUCGGGAGGAACACCAGUGGCGAAGGCGGCCACCUGGACGGUAACUGACGCUGAGACGCGAAAGCGUGGGGAGCAAACAGGAUUAGAUACCCUGGUAGUCCACGCUGUAAACGAUGAGCGCUAGGUGUUGUGGGUGUUGACCCCCGCAGUGCCGCAGCUAACGCAUUAAGCGCUCCGCCUGGGAAGUACGGCCCGCAGGCUAAAACU